rnacentral:rRNA from 1 species
UACGUAGGGCGCGAGCGUUGUCCGGAAUUAUUGGGCGUAAAGAGCUCGUAGGCGGCUUGUCACGUCGGGUGUGAAAGACCGGGGCUUAACUCCGGUUCUGCAUUCGAUACGGGCUAGCUAGAGUGUGGUAGGGGAGAUCGGAAUUCCUGGUGUAGCGGUUAAAUGCGCAGAUAUCAGGAGGAACACCGGUGGCGAAGGCGGAUCUCUGGGCCAUUACUGACGCUGAGGAGCGAAAGCGUGGGGAGCGAACAGG